rnacentral:tRNA from 1 species
AGAAUAAAUAAAUUAAACUUCUAAUUUAAAUUAAAAUGAUUAAUUUCAUUAUUAUUCUU